GCCGGGAGCCCGAGGAGGAGCCCGAGCAUCCCGGCGCCGGAGACAGCCGGAGAACGGGCGGCGAGGCUUCAUGGGCUGCUCACGCCAACAUGGUGCUCGCCCUCAACGGCAGCCACCUCUACGGUAACCUGCGGCCCCUGGUCCUGGAGGAGCCGCGGGCGCUGGGCGGCGGCAGGAUGAUCGCGGGCUCCUGGCCCCCGCGCAGCCUGGCCAAGCUCGGCCCGUCGCCCCCCCCGUCGGCGCUGCCCACGGCGAGCCCCCUCCCCGCCAACGACUCCCAGUGCGGGGAGCAGAUCCUCAGCUACGGCAGCGCGGAGAAAGUUCUCAUCGGGGCCGUGCUCUGCCUCAUCACCCUGCUGACCAUCGCCGGCAACUGCCUGGUGGUGAUCUCCGUCUGCUUCGUGAAGAAGCUGCGGCAGCCCUCCAACUAUCUCAUCGUCUCGCUGGCCCUGGCCGAUCUCUCGGUGGCCCUGGCCGUCAUGCCCUUCGUCAGCGUCACCGACCUUAUCGGCGGCGAGUGGAUCUUCGGCCGCCUCUUCUGCAACGUCUUCAUCGCCAUGGAUGUCAUGUGCUGCACGGCCUCCAUCAUGACCCUGUGUGUGAUAAGUAUCGACAGGUACCUGGGAAUAACCAGACCUCUCACCUAUCCUGUAAGGCAGAAUGGGAAGUGUAUGGCCAAAAUGAUCCUGUGUGUCUGGCUUUUAUCUGCCUCUAUCACCAUACCCCCGCUCUUCGGCUGGGCCCAGAAUGUAAAUGAUGAAAAGGUCUGUCUCAUCAGUCAAGAUUUUGGCUACACCAUUUACUCCACUGCAGUUGCAUUUUAUAUUCCAAUGUCAGUGAUGCUUUUCAUGUACUAUCAGAUUUAUAAAGCUGCCAGGAGGAGUGCUGCUAAACACAAGUUUACUGGUUUUCCCCGUCUGGAAGAAAUGGAAGGGAUUUCUGUGAAUGGACUUGUAAAACUGCACAAGGAAUCCGAGGAAUGUACUAACUUUUCACGACUCCUAAAGCAUGACAAGAAAAACAUUUCCAUCUUUAAAAGAGAACAGAAAGCUGCCACCACCCUUGGGAUUAUUGUUGGGGCUUUCACAGUCUGCUGGCUGCCCUUUUUCCUCCUCUCUACUGCAAGGCCCUUCAUCUGUGGUACAGCAUGCAGCUGCAUCCCACUGUGGGUGGAGAGAACAUUUCUAUGGCUGGGCUAUGCAAACUCUCUCAUUAACCCUUUUAUCUAUGCCUUCUUCAACCGGGACCUGAGGACAACCUAUCGCAACCUGCUGCAGUGCAGAUACAGGAACAUCAACCGCAAACUCUCGGCCGCAGGGAUGCACGAGGCUCUGAAGCUUGCAGAAAAGCCAGAAUUCGUCCUGUAAGGUCACUCAUCCUCUGCUGUGAUCGUUUGUUGUUUUGUCACACUAGCUUUUCCCCCACAGGUUCGAAAGAAGUGUUGUAGGAAGAACCAGGCUGCUUGAGCAGUGUCAAUGCAGGCAUCAAGGAACAAGGUAGAACCCACCAGUCCUAACCAGCCUGGAAAAACAGCACCACCACCCAAAGAAUUUGGGUGUAAGAGGAGUGAAGGAUGAAAGUAAAGUGUAGUGAAGGAUGUUUGAGCUGUUAGUCAGGAAAAGGCAAAGUUGGCCUAACCCAUUUGUUCGGCACAAAAGAUGUUUAGCAGGUCUGAAUGUUGGAUGCACCUUGCAGAGAUUCAUUGCUGUAAUAAAGACCUGAAAAUGGUGAAAAGUUCAUUUCCUUCCACUUUAGUAUUACAAAAAUAAAUCAUUAAAGAAGCUGAAUCAAAGAACUUCUAUUGCUUAGAAAUAUUCUUUAUUGUAAAACCCCAUACAUUCAUUAAAUAUUAAUUUACUGGAUUGCCUAGAAAUGAACUAUGUUGUGAAAUUGAAUAUGGCCUUUGCACAGCAACUCUGGCACUGAAAGAAUAUGUUGCACUUCCAAUGUGGUUAUAAGAGUUUGAGUAAAGUCACAUGGACCAGCAUCUUCACUGCAUACAGCCAUGCAGCACAGUUAGCUGCAGUGCUGCUGUGCAAAUCACACCAGAAAUUGACAUUUGCCCAGCUGUCACUAAAGGCAAUUGCUUUCCUCUGGGAAAACAUCCUGCAGGAGUCCAGCUUUCCUCUGCCAUCUGUUUCAGGAGAAGUCCUGAUUUCUCCAGGGAAAAAGAGUCAUGACCAAAUGUGCUUCAAAGCAGCCAGAAAAAGUCAAGCCAGAACAGGAAGAAGAAAAAUGAAGAGUUGGCUUCCAAAGAAGUGAAUAGAUUUCUGAAAUGUACUUCAUCUUCCUUUGAUGGGAAUGUGCUAAAAAUAUUCCAUGAACUCAAUACAUUACAUUAAAUAUAUUUCUAUUGGAAGUACUCACAUCCUAUUUGUUAUGGAGGAAAGUCCUGUUACAUACAAAUGAAAAUAGUUUUCUGCCUGAGAAAGCCAAAUUAUUUCAGCAAUAAGUAUGUGGGGUGGGGAGAAUGCCACUAGAACUCAAAGCUAAAGCAUUGUACAGAUUUCCAGCACAUUAAACUAUGUAGGAGAGCAUUUGUAUGUUUACCAUACUUGUGGAUCCUAACAUUGGUAUUCAUAUUCAGGGAUUGCCAGUGAUACUGAAUGUAUUUUGCUGUACUAAAAAAAGGAGGUUUUCAGGCAAAUGCUGUCUCUGUGAAUGCUUUCAGAGCUUGUGUUCAAGAAAUGCUGUACACCUGCAAUGGGACUGAAAAUGACAAUAAAAGACCAAUUUUUGUUAAAGACAUCUGUUGUAUUAAGUAAAAGUCUGUUACUUGUUAACAUAGAUGUGGUUGGUUCUCCCAGACUUUUGUAAAAAAGCUGCUUUCAGUUACACAGUGACAAAAGUUAAGGGACAAAAUUAGAGUGCACAUUUGUUACACCACAGCUAAUUUACAAAUAUGAUUGCUUUGCUUUAAUGCCAUUUUCAUGACCUACCAAUUUAUAAAUUUCUGUCAUUUCAACUCAAAUCUGUAUAAAAGGCUGGAGAACUUCUGCAACACCUUGCUUUUUGUCUUACUUUUAGCUAGAAAGAGAAUUAUGUGGGAUUUUUUUUUUUUAAUGUGUUUAAGAGGUGUUAUUCCUGCCAAUGAUUUGUUAUAAUUAAAACAGAUCCCUUUGGCUUGACAAAACCUGUAUAGGUGAGUAUAAAUGACCAUUUUUCCCAGGGAAAACUGACUCAAGGCAUUGAUCCUUAAGCAUAGCUCUUAACUUUUUUUUUUUAAGCUUGUAAUAUUAAUUUCCCUUCAGAGUUUCCAGACUAUGCAGUUAUACAAUGCACAAUGCAGAAGCAUAUCCCAUUCCCAAAGUUUCAAAGGUACACCUUGAUGAGCACUUGCCUUAUUUCCAUAGCUGUAUUCUUUAUGGUAACUUAAUCCCUUACUUGCAGUUCAACCAAAAUGCUGCUGGUAAAUCACCCAGUGGCUACAUUUACCAUUGGGGCUUCAAUUUCCUUUGUUUAAAUUAAUACAAAAUUUCACCAUAGCUGCCUAAAUAAGGAGUCAGACAUAGCAGAACAGGCCAAUUAAUUUCUUAUUAGGGGAUUAGCAUGGGAAACAAAUCAAAUAUACAUUGAGCCUAUGUAAAACCUAGAACAGAGAGCCUAAUCCUUCCUUUAUACACAAUCCUGGCACCCUAAGAUACUCCUGUGGUUACCUGAGAGCAUCAGAGUGGCAGAUUUUCAUUGCACUGGGCAGCAAGGCUCAUUUCAGCAUUUUACUGAUAAAAGUACUCACUGUGAACUCUGCAUCUGAAACAAAAUGAGUUUUACAGUUUAUUUUUUUUUCCAAAGGGAAUGA